rnacentral:rRNA from 1 species
GACGAACGCUGGCGGCGUGCCUAAUACAUGCAAGUCGAACGCUUCUUUCCUCCCGAGUGCUUGCACUCAAUUGGAAAGAGGAGUGGCGGACGGGUGAGUAACACGUGGGUAACCUACCCAUCAGAGGGGGAUAACACUUGGAAACAGGUGCUAAUACCGCAUAACAGUUUAUGCCGCAUGGCAUAAGAGUGAAAGGCGCUUUCGGGUGUCGUUGAUGGAUGGACCCGCGGUGCAUUAGCUAGUUGGUGAGGUAACGGCUCACCAAGGCCACGAUGCAUAGCCGACCUGAGAGGGUGAUCGGCCACACUGGGACUGAGACACGGCCCAGACUCCUACGGGAGGCAGCAGUAGGGAAUCUUCGGCAAUGGACGAAAGUCUGACCGAGCAACGCCGCGUGAGUGAAGAAGGUUUUCGGAUCGUAAAACUCUGCUGUUAGAGAAGAACAAGGACGUUAGUAACUGAACGUCCCCUGACGGUAUCUAACCAGAAAGCCACGGCUAACUACGUG